UACAGAGGGUGCAAGCGUUUGUUCGGAAUUAUUGGGCGUAAAGAGCUCGUAGGCGGUCUGUCACGUCGGCUGUGAAAUCCCGAGGCUCAACCUCGGGUCUGCAGUCGAUACGGGCAAACUAGAGUAUUGCAGGGGAGACUGGAAUUCCUGGUGUAGCGGUGAAAUGCGCAGAUAUCAGGAGGAACACCGGUGGCGAAGGCGGGUCUCUGGGCAAUAACUGACGCUGAGGAGCGAAAGCGUGGGGGAGCGAACAGG
rnacentral:rRNA from 1 species